CGCCGCAGCCUGAACACAGCAGAGUCCACACCGGCUGCGGCAUGCUUUCCAUACUUGUCAUCCUCCAGCUGCUGAUGAGAGGCCUGCAGCUCUGCUAUCUCUUUCCCUGAGGAUUCCAGGUGUUUCCAGAUCAUAGUACUGCCCUGAGAGUAUGAGGGAAAUGAGGUUGGAUUCUGGCAGCCCGAAACAUGAAUGCCGCCCAUACAGCUGUGUCAUAGGCCUACUCAAUCUCUCACGACAAAAAAGAUCAGCACUGCAGACUGGGCCCUGCAAGGAAGGAAUUCAUCUGGAUCAAUCAGACAGCCAGUGCUCCACACAGAGAUCUGACCAUCAUCCAGUCUGUCUGGAAUGACGUGAAGAAAUAGAACAAACUGAGACAGACUACAUCCAGAAGAAGUGUGGCAACGUCUCCAAGAUGCUUCAAGAGACCUACCUUCAAAGCUACCUGAAAAACUAUGCUCAAGUGCACCUCAGGCAAAAGCUGCUUUAAACACAAAGGAUGGUCACACCAAAUGAUUUAAUUUUAUGACAUUUAUCUAUUUAUGACAUUAUUUUUGACAGCGUCCUCAUUUUACAGCAUUUUUACACAAGUGCCUUAAACUUUUAACAGUACUUUUAGGGAUGCACGAUAUUGGAUUUUUGCCGAUAUCCGAUAUGCCGAUAUUUUUCAACUCAUUUUGGCCGAUUUAUUUCCUUUUGUUUGGAAACAACACCAAGUCUCUCCUGUACAGAAAUUAUAAACAAAAUAUUUUAAAUUUUGGUUCGUUUUUAACAAGAACUUAUUUAUUAGAAUUAAAUAAAAAAUAAUGAAGGUUUUUUAACAGUACAUUGAAGCUUUGAAAACAACUAUAAAUAAACUAUAUCAAUCGCUGCAUUUUCCCCCAGAAAGAUGCAGUGUUAACCCUAGCAUUUUAUUUUAAGAUUUAACAUUUAUAGAUGGUCUAAAACAAAAGAGUUGUAAAAAUUCAGAAAAUCUUUUAGAGGUCAUGAAUUGUUUUAAAAAUAAAACAUAUUACACAUUAAUGAAUAAAUCAGUAUAUAUAAAAUUAUUUAAUUUACAAGUGUCAUGUUUGUGAUUUUUUUUUCAUGUAAGCUAUAGCCUCUGACCAUUAAUUCAAAACAUAAUUUUAUGACAUCAAUCAGAUCUCUGUGGCCACCACUGUAUGUUUACACACACACACACACACACACACAUAUAUAUAUAUAU